AUACGUAGGUGGCAAGCGUUGUCCGGAAUUACUGGGCGUAAAGGGCACGCAGGCGGAAUAUUAAGUCAGAUGUGUAAUCUACGGGCUUAACCUGUAGUUUGGAUCUGAUACUGGUAUACUUGAGGGUAGGAGAGGACAGUGGAAUUCCUAGUGUAGCGGUGAAAUGCGUAGAUAUUAGGAGGAACACCAGUGGCGAAGGCGGCUGUCUGGCCUACAACUGACGCUGAGGUGCGAAAGCGUGGGUAGCAAACAGGAUUAGAUACCCUGGUAGUCCACGCCGUAAACGAUAGGUACUAGGUGUGGGAGGUAUCGACCCCUUCUGUGCCGGAGUUAACACAAUAAGUACCCCGCCUGGGGACUACGGUCGCAAGACUAAA
rnacentral:rRNA from 1 species